GGGGACGACAGGCUUCGACGUGGUCGGUUCCGUAGGGAUGGUCGCGAGCCGAGGUCCCGGAGGCCUCGUAAAACACCGGGAAAACCAUACGUGCGGACUCUCACGAGUACGCCCUCGCUGCUUAGUCUCUGACUAGGUGAGUGAGGUUCCGCCCCACGCCUGCCGGCCGCGGGGUGUGCGGAAUCAGAAUGCCGGCUCACCCGGGGAGGUCCGCUCCUGCCGAACCGGGGACAUCUUCAGGGAGCUGGUCACCCGGACCCCUGUCGGCGCGGCUACCGGGUGACGAGAUCAGAGCGCCGACUACGCUCGUAGACGCCUCCACUGCGCGAUCGCGGACGCGGGUUCAAUUCCCGCCGUCUCCACCU
rnacentral:tmRNA from 1 species